rnacentral:misc_RNA from 1 species
AACUUUCAGCAACGGAUCACUUGGCUCUCGCAUCGAUGAAGAACGCAGCGAAAUGCGAUACGUAAUGUGAAUUGCAGAAUUCCGUGAAUCAUUAAAUCUUUGAACGCACCUUGCGCUCUUUGGCAAUCCAGAGAGCAUGUCUGUUUGAGAAUCAGUUUAAAUCUCAUUCUUAAUACUGGAAACGGUUUAGGAAUGGCUGUGGGUUUUUCAUUUACCUGAAAUGAAAUUCCUUAAAUUCAAGUUGCCGGAAUACUUUUAGAAGCGUAACCGGAAAGCAUGACCAAUGGACAAUACUCUUGUUCUUGAUUGCUGAUAAAGGCCGUUUUCUGGAGAACCUCCUGGUAAAUAAAUAACCCUACAAGAGUCCCUAGGACUUUUAAGACUUGAUCUCAAAUCAGAUAAGACUACCCGCUGAACUUAAGCAUAUCAAUAAGCGGAGGCU